ensembl:snoRNA
UAGGCCCUGGAUCAAGAUUAGCGGUUUGCUAUAGCUAUUGGUUUCAAACAGGGGUCAAGAGUGAUGUCUUCCUGUGGGCUGUUCGUUGCUCGGUAUCCCAGUGUGAGUGGCCAAUUUAGUUGGAAGCAACAUGG